rnacentral:tRNA from 1 species
GCGGAAGUAGUUCAGUGGUAGAACACCACCUUGCCAAGGUGGGGGUCGCGGGUUCGACUCCCGUCUUCCGCUCCA